rnacentral:rRNA from 1 species
GGCUCAGAAUGAACGCUGGCGGCAUGGCUAAGACAUGCAAGUCGAGCGGACCAUAUAAUUGGGUAACCGAAAGUACGGUUAGUGGCGAAAGGGUGAGGAAUAGAUAGGAACGUACCCUGUGCUCUGGGAUAGCGUCUGAAGCUUCGGCUUCUUCCGAAAGGGGCGGUAAUACCAGAUAAUGUCCUUCGGGACCAAAGAUUUAUCGGCAUUGGAGCGGCCUAUCUCCUAUCAGCUUGUUGGUGAGGUAACGGCUCACCAAGGCAACGACGGGUAGCGGGACUGAGAGGUUGGCCCGCCACAUCGGGACUGAGACACUGCCCGGACCUCCACGGAGGGCUGCAGUAACGGAUAUUGGGCAAUGGGCGAAAGCCUGACCCAGCAAUGCCGCGUGCAGGAUGAAGCCCCUAGGGGUGUAAACUGCUGUCAGGGGUCAGAAAGCUGGUUUCGGCCAGUUGAUCAACCCCAGAGGAAGUCACGGCUAACUUCGUGCCAGCAGCCGCGGUAAUACGAAGGUGGCAAGCGUUAUUCGGAAUCAUUGGGCUUAAAGGGCACGCAGGCGGAACAGUGUGUGCUGUGUGAAAUCCCCCGGCUUAACCGGGGAAUUGCACAGCAAACUGCUGUUCUUGAGGCAGGUAGGGGUGCAUGGAACUCUUGGUGGAGCGGUGGAAUGCGUAGAUAUCGAGAGGAACGCCAGAGGUGAAGACGGUGCACUGGGCCUGUCCUGACGCUGAAGUGCGAAAGCGUGGGGAGCGAACGGGAUUAGAUACCCCGGUAGUCCACGCCGUANACGAUGUCUACUAGGUCGUGGGUGUUCUGACACAUUCACGGCCGGAGCAAAAGUGUNUAGUAGACCGCCUGGGGGGUACGGCCGCAAGGGUUAAACUCAAAUGAAUUGACGGGGGCUCACACAAGCGGUGGAGCAUGGUGGAUUACUUCGAAGCAAACGCGCAGAACCCUUACCUGGGUCUGACCUGCUUGUAUGCCUUCUCUGAAAGGAGUUAGGNUGCCUUCGGGUGAACUUGCCCAGGUGCUGGAUGGCUGCCGUCAGCUCGUGUCCGUGAAAUGUCGGGUAAGUCCCUUAACGAGCGAAACCCUUGCGUUAGUUGCCAGGGAGUAAUGUUCGGGGACUCU